UGAACCUGCGGAGGGAUCAUUACAAGUGACCCCGGCUACGGCCGGGAUGUUCAUAACCCUUUGUUGUCCGACUCUGUUGCCUCCGGGGCGACCCUGCCUUCGGGCGGGGGCUCCGGGUGGACACUUCAAACUCUUGCGUAACUUUGCAGUCUGAGUAAACUUAAUUAAUAAAUUAAAACUUUUAACAACGGAUCUCUUGGUUCUGGCAUCGAUGAAGAACGCAGCGAAAUGCGAUAAGUAAUGUGAAUUGCAGAAUUCAGUGAAUCAUCGAAUCUUUGAACGCACAUUGCGCCCCCUGGUAUUCCGGGGGGCAUGCCUGUUCGAGCGUCAUUUCACCACUCAAGCCUCGCUUGGUAUUGGGCAACGCGGUCCGCCGCGUGCCUCAAAUCGUCCGGCUGGGUCUUCUGUCCCCUAAGCGUUGUGGAAACUAUUCGCUAAAGGGUGUUCGGGAGGCUACGCCGUAAAACAACCCCAUUUCUAAGGUUGACCUCGGAUCAGGUAGGGAUACCCGCUGAACUUAAGCAUAUCAAUAA
rnacentral:misc_RNA from 1 species